CGAAAUAAGAAUCGCAUUUUCAAUUUUAUUUAGAUGAGAUUUCUACUUCACGUACAAAAACCGAUGUUAAAUAAAGGGAUAACGAGACUCUGGAAAACUGUUCUGUAUAGGAACUUGCGAUUUACUUACUACCUCACACUCAUUACUUACAAUCCUUAUAAACGGCCGAUAUUGUCUUGAUGCCAUAAUUGCUCAGAGACGCAAGAACCUCGAUAAGUGCACCCUCAUCAGUGCCUAUACCAGAAAGAGCUUUGUGCAAUUCCUUGGCAUACAGUUCAGGAAGAGGCGUCAUUAAAGCGCAGAUAACCGUUUCGAAGUUUCCGGACAACUCAGACUUCAGCUCCGAGACGAGAUCCUUGCCGUACAUUGUUUUGAAUUUAUCGGCGAUCUCCAGUCGUUGUACGAUGCCCCGAUGAGCUAGAACGUCGAUGAUGGCCUGUUCGUCAGUUCCGAAACCCUUCAUGGCGGUGCGCAGGAGGCUGGCAUCUGCCUCGGCAUCGAAGGGAUCGGCCGGAUACACGCAGGGCGUACACUGGAAAUAUUUAUAAUUAAUUAAUUGAAAAAGGGAGAUGACGAUGAUGAUGAUGAUAUGAUGAAGGAAUAUCAUUUCACAAGAUGCCGCAAGAUUAUAUCGAUCAGAUCGGCGAAGUGACACUUCGGGUGUGGCUUGCUUUACCUUUUUUGACGGCUACGAGAUACGCUCCUUCCGGAAAACGGUGUCGAUUCUGGUAGUUGGUGGCCAACUAACGGCCUGCAACGCAUUCUCCGUUGACGGGAAGAAGUACGGGAGAGAAGAGGAAAGGAAUUUGUUGAAUGAUUCUUCGUUGCGUUGCGUAUGAAUACUUUGCUAACUGGGUGGAAACUGUUCUGCCAGCGGCGAUAUUAAGGACAAUGUUGAGGGAAAGAGAGAGAGAAACAUUGGUGGGGCUGACGACGUAGCGCCGAAUAAUGACGUGGAGAACGGAAUAUCCUGUAGUGAGCUAAGGAGAUAGUGAGUGAACCAUUGCCCGCCCGACUGACGCCGUCGAUGAGAUCAAUAGGAUACAAUGACAAUAAUUUUUAGGAACUACCAAAAUUCGCACAUCAAAUACGUUUUGCAUACGUAUAAAUUUUAAUAAUAAAUUCGAAAAUUGAAAAAAAACUUCUAUUACGUAUUUCCUCAAUAAUUAAUAUAUUACUCACGAAGAGCGUAUAUAUGAUUCAUAAUCCUUGAUUGAAUGAGAACAGAUCGUGACGCUCUUGAACACGUAGAAUGCGUGACGGAAUUAGCACAUCCAGUGUCUCGAAAGUCAUUAUUUAGAGAUAUUUCGCAUAAACCAUACAGAAAUCGAACUAAAGAUGAACAAAUUUGAUCUUAUCAAAAUAUCUAAUAUAUUUUUACAAAUAUAAAUUUUGUUGAGCUUCCAAAAUCAUUAAAUUCAAUAGAGACGUCACUUUUCUGUACCUAUGUGUACACCUUAUAUACAUGUAUGAUGUCACUUGCAUAACAUGCAUGCCUAUUCAGAAAAUUUAUUCAUUCACAUUGUAAAAAUUCGAUGACGCAUUCAAAAAGAAUUCGAUAAAUUCAAUUCGAUAUUAUAUGUGAUUGUUAUUUAUAAAAGUAUUUAAAAUUUUUUCAAAAACAUUUUUUUUCACAAUGCAUUGAUGGACCAAAUGCAUUGGAAGAAAAUUAUAUUGAUAAAAUGAUAUUCUUGAUAAGAUCUAUCGGUGUAAUAAAUUUUGAUAAUUUUUAAUGUAGAUAAUCAAUAAUAAAUUCUUAUAUAUUUAGGAUUAGUAGAGCUUAUAAUAGAAGAAAAAUUCGAUGUGGAGCCGUCUGAAAAUGUUUUAUUAAGAUUACAUAUGGCAAGCGAGGCUUUCGUUUCCAAUUCCUCAAAUUGAAAAUCCCUCCUCAACAUUUUUUUUCAAUACAUACAUAUAUUUAUAUAUAUAUAUAUAUAUACUGUCAGUACGAUAAAAAGUGCACAUUCUCUAGCACAUUUUGCACUUGUCUUAUCUAAUUAUCUACUAAAAAUUUGUCUAGGUUCUCUUUUUUCUUUAUCACCUUUACCACUUUGAGAGAAUCGUUCUCUUACACAUCUGCACUAUACAAUUAUAGUACAGUCAAGAACAUGCGAGCUGAAUGUUAUAAUCAUUCGUAACCGUGAAUAAUAUCUUGAUAAUAUGAAUUUCUUACAUUUUGCAAAAUAUAAUACAUAGUUUGUAUUAACAGUAAAAUGUAUAUUGUCAACAUAUUGUAAAAUAAUUUAUAAAAGAUCAACGCAUGUUAUGUACUGAAAAGUUUUUUCAAAUGUAAAAUGAGUCUCGUUAAUGAUUCUAAAUUGUGCGUAGCAAAGGAACCACGUUACACAUCUUCAAAUCAUACAUACGUCAUAUCUCACUUAGCAUUAUCUCUUUUGACUAUAUAAGGUGUUCCGCAAUAUGUACGCGCAAUCUUGAUCAUAACAACCGAGCAAUUUGAAGACGAUCUUUCCGUAGCAAAAAUAUUGUAGAAAGCUCAUGACUUUAAUUUCUUAAUAUUAAAAAAAUCUAGUGGCUUAUAAUUAAGAAAAA